GACGAACGCUGGCGGCGUGCCUAACACAUGCAAGUCGAACGGAAAGGCCCUGCUUUUGUGGGGUGCCCGAGUGGGGAAAGGGUGAGUAACACGAGAGUAACCUGCCCUUGACUUUGGGAUAACUUCAGGAAACUGGGGCUAAUACCGGAUAGGAGCUCCUGCCGCAUGGUGGGGGUUGGAAAGUUUCGGCGGUUGGGGAUGGACUCGCGGCUUAUCAGCUUGUUGGUGGGGUAGUGGAUUACCAAGGCUUUGGCGGGUAGCCGGCCUGAGAGGGUGACCGGCCACAUUGGGACUGAGAUACGGCCCAGACUCCUACGGGAGGCAGCAGUGGGGAAUAUUGCACAAUGGGCGGAAGCCUGAUGCAGCAACGCCGCGUGCGGGAUGACGGCCUUCGGGUUGUAAACCGCUUUCGCCUGUGACGAAGCGUGAGUGACGGUAAUGGGUAAAGAAGCACCGGCUAACUACGUG
rnacentral:rRNA from 1 species